AAAUAAGAUUUACUGUGAGAAGUCAGCCGAGCCCAUAGUACCGGAGAAAAUCGACUACGCCGGGAAGGGG
rnacentral:ncRNA from 1 species